rnacentral:rRNA from 1 species
AUCCCUUGACAUCCUGCGAACUUUCUAGAGAUAGAUUGGUGCCUUCGGGAACGCAGUGACAGGUGCUGCAUGGCUGUCGUCAGCUCGUGUCGUGAGAUGUUGGGUUAAGUCCCGCAACGAGCGCAACCCUUAUCAUUAGUUGCUAACAUUUAGUUGAGAACUCUAAUGAGACUGCCGGUGAUAAACCGGAGGAAGGCGAGGACGACGUCAAGUCAUCAUGGCCCUUAUGAGAUGGGCUACACACGUGCUACAAUGGGGGAUACAAAGAGCAGCCAACUGGCGACAGUGCGCGAAUCUCAUAAAACCUCUCGUAGUCCGAAUCGGAGCCUGCAACUCGACUCCGUGAAGUCGAAAUCGCUAGUAAUCGUAGAUCAGCUAUGCUACGGUGAAUACGUUCCCGGGUCU